GGGUGACCGGCCACACUGGGACUGAGACACGGCCCAGACUCCUACGGGAGGCAGCAGUGGGGAAUCUUCCGCAAUGGGCGAAAGCCUGACGGAGCGACGCCGCGUGAGCGAGGAAGGCCUUCGGGUCGUAAAGCUCUGUU
rnacentral:rRNA from 1 species